rnacentral:rRNA from 1 species
GACGAACGCUGGCGGCGUGCUUAACACAUGCAAGUCGAACGGAAAGGCCCUGCUUGCAGGGUACUCGAGUGGCGAACGGGUGAGUAACACGUGGGUGAUCUGCCCUGCACUUCGUGAUAAGCCUGGGAAACUGGGUCUAAUACCUGAUAGGAGCCAUUUUUAGUGUGAUGGUUGGAAAGUUUUUUCGGUGUAGGAUGAGCUCGCGGGCUAUCAGCUUGUUGGUGGGGUAAUGGCCUACCAAGGCGGCUACGGGUAGCCGGCCUGAGAGGGUGGACGGCCACAUUGGGACUGAGAUGAGGCCCAGACUCGUACGGGAGGCAGCAGUGGGGAAUAUUGAACAAUGGGCGCAAGCCGGAUGCAGCGAGGCCGCGUGGGGGAUGACGGCCUUCGGGUUGUAAAAUCCUUUCGCUAGGGACGAAGCUUUUUGUGACGGUACCUAGAUAAGAAGCACCGGCUAACUACGUG